rnacentral:tRNA from 1 species
GGUUUGUGACUCAGUGGUAGUGUACUUGCCUAGCAUGUAUGAGGUAAUGGGUUCGAUCCUCAGCACCA